GCAGUCGAGCGGCAGCACGGGUACUUGUACCUGGUGGCGAGCGGCGNNCGGGUGAGUAAUGCCUAGGAAUCUGCCUGGUAGUGGGGGAUAACGUUCGGAAACGAACGCUAAUACCGCAUACGUCCUACGGGAGACAGCAGGGGACCUUCGGGCCUUGCGCUAUCAGAUGAGCCUAGGUCGGAUUAGCUAGUUGGUGAGGUAAUGACUCACCAAGGCGACGAUCCGUAACUGGACUGAGAGGAUGAUCAGUCACACUGGAACUGAGACACGGUCCAGACUCCUACGGGAGGCAGCAGUGGGGAAUAUUGGACAAUGGGCGAAAGCCUGAUCCAGCCAUGCCGCGUGUGUGAAGAAGGUCUUCGGAUUGUAAAGCACUUUAAGUUGGGAGGAAGGGCAGUUACCUAAUACGUGAUUGUUUUGACGUUACCGACAGAAUAAGCACCGGCUAACUCUGUGCCAGCAGCCGCGAUAAUACAGAGGGUGCAAGCGUUCAUCGGAAUUACUGGGCGUAAAGCGCGCGUAGGUGGUUCGUUAAGUUGGAUGUGAAAUCCCCGGGCUCAACCUGGGAACUGCAUUCAGAACUGUCGAGCUAGAGUAUGGUAGAGGGUGGUGGAAUUUCCUGUGUAGCGGUGAAAUGCGUAGAUAUAGGAAGGAACACCAGUGGCGAAGGCGACCACCUGGACUGAUACUGACACUGAGGUGCGAAGCGUGGGGAGCAAACAGGAUUAGAUACCCUGGUAGUCCACGCCGUAAACGAUGUCAACUAGCCAUUGGGAGCCUUGAGCUCUUAUGGCGCAGCUCACGCAUNAGUUGACCGCNGGGGAGUACNGCCGCAAGGUUAANCUCAAUGAAUUGACGGG
rnacentral:rRNA from 1 species